CCUACGGGAGGCAGCAGUGAGGAAUAUUGGUCAAUGGUCGGGAGACUGAACCAGCCAAGCCGCGUGCGGGAUGAAGGUACAGAGUAUCGUAAACCUCUUUUGUCAGGGAACAAAGGCGGGGACGUGUCCCCGGAUGAGUGUACCUGAAGAAAAAGCAUCGGCUAACUCCGUGCCAGCAGCCGCGGUAAUACGGAGGAUGCGAGCGUUAUCCGGAUUUAUUGGGUUUAAAGGGUGCGCAGGCGGUUUGUUAAGUCAGCGGUCAAAGCCCGGGGCUCAACCCCGGACCGCCGUUGAAACUGGCAGUCUUGAGUUGGAGAGAAGUAUGCGGAAUGCGUGGUGUAGCGGUGAAAUGCAUAGAUAUCGCGAAGAACUCCGAUUGCGAAGGCAGCAUGCCGGCUCCACACUGACGCUGAGGCACGAAAGCGUGGGUAUCGAACAGGAUUAGAUACCCCGGUAGUC
rnacentral:rRNA from 1 species